ACGAACGCUGGCGGCGUGCCUAAUACAUGCCAGUAGAACGCACAGUUUAUACCGUAGCUUGCUACACCAUAGACUGUGAGUUGCGAACGGGUGAGUAACGCGUAGGUAACCUGCCUGGUAGCGGGGGAUAACUAUUGGAAACGAUAGCUAAUACCGCAUAAUAUUAAUUAUUGCAUGAUAAUUAAUUGAAAGGUGCAAUUGCACCACUACCAGAUGGACCUGCGUUGUAUUAGCUAGUAGGUGAGGUAACGGCUCACCUAGGCGACGAUACAUAGCCGACCUGAGAGGGUGAUCGGCCACACUGGGACUGAGACACGGCCCAGACUCCUACGGGAGGCAGCAGUAGGGAAUCUUCGGCAAUGGACGAAAGUCUGACCGAGCAACGCCGCGUGAGUGAAGAAGGGUUUCGGAUCGUAAAGCUCUGUUGUAAGAGAAGAACGGGUGUGAGAGUGGAAAGUUCACACUGUGACGGUAGCUUACCAGAAAGGGACGGCUAACUACGUG
rnacentral:rRNA from 1 species